rnacentral:rRNA from 1 species
GAGAAGCUUGCUUCUCUGAUGUUAGCGGCGGACGGGUGAGUAACACGUGGAUAACCUACCUAUAAGACUGGGAUAACUUCGGGAAACCGGAGCUAAUACCGGAUAAUAUUUUGAACCGCAUGGUUCAAAAGUGAAAGACGGUCUUGCUGUCACUUAUAGAUGGAUCCGCGCUGCAUUAGCUAGUUGGUAAGGUAACGGCUUACCAAGGCAACGAUGCAUAGCCGACCUGAGAGGGUGAUCGGCCACACUGGAACUGAGACACGGUCCAGACUCCUACGGGAGGCAGCAGUAGGGAAUCUUCCGCAAUGGGCGAAAGCCUGACGGAGCAACGCCGCGUGAGUGAUGAAGGUCUUCGGAUCGUAAAACUCUGUUAUUAGGGAAGAACAUAUGUGUAAGUAACUGUGCACAUCUUGACGGUACCUA